rnacentral:rRNA from 1 species
AUUGAAUGCUGGCGGCAGGCCUAACACAUGCAAGUCGAACGGUAACAGGAAGAAGCUUGCUUCUUUGCUGACGAGUGGCGGACGGGUGAGUAAUGUCUGGGAAACUGCCUGAUGGAGGGGGAUAACUACUGGAAACGGUAGCUAAUACCGCAUAACGUCGCAAGACCAAAGAGGGGGACCUUCGGGCCUCUUGCCAUCGGAUGUGCCCAGAUGGGAUUAGCUAGUAGGUGGGGUAACGGCUCACCUAGGCGACGAUCCCUAGCUGGUCUGAGAGGAUGACCAGCCACACUGGAACUGAGACACGGUCCAGACUCCUACGGGAGGCAGCAGUGGGGAAUAUUGCACAAUGGGCGCAAGCCUGAUGCAGCCAUGCCGCGUGUAUGAAGAAGGCCUUCGGGUUGUAAAGUACUUUCAGCGGGGAGGAAGGGAGUAAAGUUAAUACCUUUGCUCAUUGACGUUACCCGCAGAAGAAGCACCGGCUAACUCCGUG